rnacentral:tRNA from 1 species
AUACCUAUUAGUUUAAUAAAACACUAUUUUUGUAAUAUAGAAUUAAACUUAUUUAUAUAAACUUUCGUA